CAAGGUAUAGCUCAGUGGUAGAGUACAUGCCUAGCAUGCAUGAGGUCCUGGGUUCAAUCCCAGGUACCUCCA
rnacentral:tRNA from 1 species